UCGUACGUCCCUAUGUGUGUGUGCGCUAGAGUGUUGGCUGGCGAAUUAAUGAAAAUAAGGAGGGAGGUGGUGGAUGGGAUGAAAGUAUAAACGCAAACAAAAGAUGGAAAAGGAGAGUAGUAGCGUGGACUCAGUUGGUGUAGAUCUGGCCCUCUGGUGGCUGAGGGAGCGUCAUGUUCUCCUUGCGCAUCAUGAGUCGUCUGAGCUCCUGCAGGACUACACGGAGGCUGUAGGAAUUCUGCCACUUGGCCAGUGCAGACACUGCUCAUGUAUCAACCACACCAUUCAAGUUUAUCUUAAUUACAAAUCUGACAAACGGUGGUGCCUCUGGAUAUCUCGGCCCACAUUCAACCGCACCAGUGAUGGAUGCCGCGGUGUUCUGAUAAAGGAGGUCCGACCUGAAUCCCAGGGUUAAAAUACGGUUCCGGAAGGACGUUGGGAAUUGCCCACUCUGUUCACCCCAGGGGAAUUAUUUUUUCCCUUUGACGAGUUUAAAAUAGCGAAGUACAGUAGUACAUUUAUAUUGUGUACUGUUAUUGUUAAAAUAAUGCUUGUAUUUAACGUUAUCAUUAUUGUAGAAAUGUAAAACUUGAUGGUUAGCAGACUUGCCUUGGAGCUGGCCACUCCCCUUAUAGUCUCCGUGGAACGUCCCAUCAGUGAGUUGAUUUUUGGUUUAUGUACGUUCUGUUCCUGCACGUUAUAGAUUAGUUAUUUUUAAGUUAAUACUUUAUAGGACAGUCCGUUUUUCAAGUAAUUUAGCCCUUGGUAUAUUUUAAAGCACUUUGGUUUAUUUCCUUGUCAUAAUUUGUAUCAUCCAAGUUUUGAUAAAUAAAAACCCUUAUUGUUUAA